UGCAUCCUUUCGUCUGCCCCAGUCGGACGAUCGUCCGCUCCUCCCCCGUCCGAUCAGUCCCGCGCACCCGCGCUCCUCAUCGCCCGUCCAACAGCUCCCGCCCGGCAAUCACGCUACACCCUUCCCCACCACGCCCGUCGCGUCUCCUCAUCGCGCGUCCAACAGAUCCUGCCCGGCAAUCACGCGCCACCCUUCCCCACCACGCCCGUCGCACCUCCUCAUCGCCCGUCCACCGCCGCCACUCUGCGCGCCCUCCCCCCACGCUUGUCGCGCCGCCGCUCCCAUCCCACCUCGACGCCGCACCGCUCCAAGCUAGCUGUCGUGGCCGCCCGUCGUCUGCCGCGAUCGAGCGUCGAUGCUACGCCCCUCCUUCGCGGCAUCGUUCCGACGCCCCUCCUUCGCGGCGGCGACCUCCCCCUCUUGUCUCAUGUGAGCGAUUCUCCGAGGGACAUGUUCACCGGACUCUCUCCGCCCGAAGCUAUUCGUGUCGCCGUCAGGUCUCCACGCCGCCCCACAUUGCCGGACUCAACUCCCCCCGAAGCAGCCGAACCAGCCGGGAUCCCUCGCUUUCGCCACCGCUUCCUAUUUCCUCCCCUAAGAUGCUGCUAGGAUGUUGUCCCUGAAUCGCAUCUCAUUCCCGCAGCCGUCGCCAUCUCGCCUCUCACCUGCCCACAGGCCGGGUGGCGUCCUGACCAGGACCAGGAUGCAAGCUAAAGGAGGGAUCUCCAUCUCGACUUCACGCAGUGGCCACAGGCCACAGCACUUCAACUUGCAAUUCAAACUGCACAAGGAUUUCAGAUGCCCUCCUUCCAUUUCUUCUCUGAUUGUCAGAUGCUUGUCAACGCUGUAAAAGCUGCCGAUCCAAUUGACAGCCCUGGACAUUCGAGAAAAUAAUUUUGUGUGCCCUCAUGAAGGUUGUGGAAAGGAGAAUUUACAUUUGUCAGUACCAUUCCUAUAUAUUGGCCAAAUACAAAUGGAAUUAUUUCGCGUUACAAAAUCUACAUCUCUAGAAAAUACAUACAUCUAAACAAGCCACCUGAGAUUGAUGCUUCCUGACAUACCGAUCACCCAAAUGUCCAGGAGCCUCCCUGAAAACCUUUGAGAAUUGCUGAUAACUAUGCAAGCUAAAGAGCUGCCCCCUUUUGUUCACUACGAAGAUGAGGACAUCUUCCUGACAUUUGAGGAGUCAAGACUCAAGAGCAAUGAUCGAUAACACCAUCAUCCAAGAGCUAUACGUAUUUGCAGUUCUCUUUGAGUCUUUGAUUCAGUCGUUCAACAGCUUGGUUAACUGCAUGGGUUGUAGGCAAAGAGAAGACUGAAUUUUGGCUUCUACGAUGGGUUAACUGAACAUGCAUGUCCUGGAAGCAAGUGCAAUCCUGCACUGGCAUUAUAUAUGCAUAUAAUUCUGAGUCAAGCUCAGUCUUAGCAGAACAGAUAAUUAGUUUUUUAUUUACUUUGGCGUAUAUGGAAGAGUAGACAUGACUAUCUGUUCAAAAUUAUAUACAUAGUUCUUACUCAAGUUCAGUCUCAGCAGGACAAAGCAUU